GCAGAGCUCGCUAGGAGGCCGGAGCCGGGGCGGUGCUGGUGCGGAGGGAGACAAGUGCCUGCGUGCUGGAAAUAGGCAGGAGGGAAACUGGGCGCGACCUGCUAAACCAAACCCGCUCUGAACUUGCUCUGUCCCAGUCGGUGCCCUUGACGGGGUCAUACAUCACCAGCCUGCUUCCCCCGGGCGCCCACUUCAGCUGCACAUCGUCCAGAUCAUAAAGGCUGGGAGGAUGAGGGCCAGGCCUGUAAGCGGCGAGGCUACCGGGCUCCUUAGGGUGAAGGACAACCUCACUGGUAAGGUUCCUACUGCCUAAUGAGGGGAAGAGCUGCGGUUGAGCAGCUCUGAGUGGACUUCCCAGAGGGAAGCAGGCCUGGAGGAGGGUGGACCUCCCAGAUUUCACCUAAACAAUGGACAGGAUUUUUCUGAAAAUGUUUGGAUGUUUUUAAAUAAGAAUCAUCUGCAAAAGAAUUUCUAGAAGUUUGAACUCCACUACUCAAAUGAUCUGAAGAUCAUUUCGAAUAAAUGUUGAAAGAGUGAUAACCACAUAGAUACCAAUAGUCUUUAAAUGUUUUUUUCUAUUUUUAAUAAUUAAAUUAUUAAUUCAAUCAACAAUGGAAAUGUAGAAAAGUAAAAAGAACAGGACAAUAAUCCACACUUCUACCUCCUGAGGGAAAUGACAUUAAUAUUUAGAAAUUUUUUUCUAUUUUGGAGAGUGUUAAAUGUAAUAUAUAUGUGCAUAUACAUAGAUAACAUGUACCCUGCUUUUCUUAAUAUAUUAGCAUUUUCUCAUAGUAUCCAAUAUUCUUUUACACCAUUAUUUUAAUGAUGGCAUAAAUCCAUUUCUAUGAAUGCACCAUAAUUUAUGUAACCAUUCUCCUAGCAAGAGAGAUUUGUGUUUUUUCCAAUUCUACACUGUUAUAGAUAGUGCUUCAGCAAGCAUUUUGGAACAUAAAUACUUGCAUCUCUGAUUAUUUCUCUAGGAAAUAUUCACAGAAGUGGGAUUACAAUGUCCAUGGGUAAGGAAUUUAUAAAGAAGUUAAGUAUUGACAAAUGUACACCCUCACCACCAGCAUAGGAAAGUGUCAGUCUUAACAUAACCUUACUAACAAUGGGUAUUAUUAUUUUUAAGAAGUUUAAGCCAUGUGAUAGGCAAAAAUGACACCUUGCUUUUGAUUCAAUUUGUUUCAGUUAUUAGUGAACUUGAACAUUUUCCCCAUGCAUGAAUUAACCAUUUGUAUAUUUUCUUUUGUGAAUAAAUUAUUUAUACUUUUUUCUCAUUUUUCUAUUAAGUUAUUGUAGGUUUUAAAAAAAUUUUUUGUUUGGUUUUUAUUUCAGUCUUUCAUGAAUUUAUAAGUAUAUUAAACUUUUAUAUGUAU